rnacentral:rRNA from 1 species
GAUGAACGCUAGCGGCAGGCCUAAUACAUGCAAGUCGAACGGAUAUAUGUUUUUCGGAAUAUAUAUUAGUGGCGCACGGGUGAGUAACACGUACAUAACUUGCCCUCAAGCGGGGGAUAGCCUUGGGAAACUGAGAGUAAUACCCCAUAGAAUUAUUGGACGGCAUCGUUUGAUAAUUAAAACUACGGUGUUUGGGGAUAGAUGUGCGUCUGAUUAGCUAGUUGGUGAGGUAACUGCUCACCAAGGCGACGAUCAGUAGGGGGCGUGAGAGCGUGGCCCCCCACACGGGUACUGAGACACGGACCCGACUCCUACGGGAGGCAGCAGUAAGGAAUAUUGGUCAAUGGAGGGAACUCUGAACCAGCCAUGCCGCGUGAAGGAUGACGGCCCUCUGGGUUGUAAACUUCUUUUGGAUGGGGCGAAAAAACGGGAUUUAUCCUGGACUGACGGUACCAUCAGAAUAAGCACCGGCUAACUCCGUGCCAGCAGCCGCGG